GUGCUCACUUCAACAGCACAUAAAAUCAAAUUGGAAUGACACACAAAAGAUAAGCAUGGCCCCCGCUCAAGGCUGACUCACAAGUCUUUAAAUUACUGAUUUAAUUU
ensembl:snRNA U6 U6 spliceosomal RNA